rnacentral:rRNA from 1 species
CGUGAGUGAGGAAGGCCUUCGGGUUGUAAAGCUCUGUCAAAUAGGAAGAAUUCCUCUGGGUCCAAUAGGCCUAGAGAUUGACGGUACUAUCUAAAGGAAGCACCGGCUAACUUCGUGCCAGCAGCCGCGGUAAUACGAAGGGUGCAAGCGUUGUUCGGAUUUACUGGGCGUAAAGCGCGCGCAGANGGAUUUAUAAGCCAGAUGUGAAAUNUCGGGGCUCAACCCCGAAACUGCGUCUGAAACUGUAGAUCUAGAGUUAUGGAGGGGAGAGCGGAAUUUCGCAUGUAGGGGUAAAAUCCGUAGAGAUGCGAAGGAACACCAGAGCCGAAGGGGGCUCUCUGGCCAUCAACUGACGCUGAGGCGCGAAAGCGUGGGGAGCAAACAGGAUUAGAUACCCUGGUAGUCCACGCCGUAAACGAUGAGUACUAGAUAUUGGGGGUUUGACCCUCUCAGUGUCANAGCUAACGCAUUAAGUA